ACCAGACGCGGGUGGCAUGCGCCUGCAGUCCCAGCUACUCAGGAGGCUGAGACAGGAGGAUCACUUAAGUCCAGGAGUUCUGGGCUGUGGUGUGCUAUGCUGAUCAGGUGUCCACACUAAGUUGGGCAUCAAUAUGGUGACCUCCUGGGUGCGGGUGCUGGGGUGGAGGGGAGGACACCAGGUUGCCAAAGGAGGGGUGAACUGGCCCAGGUUGGAAACAGAGCAGGUCAAAACUCCCAUGCUGAUCAGUAGUGAGAUUGCACCUGUGAAUAGCCACUGUACUCCAGCCUGGGCAACAUAGCGAGACUCUGUCUCUA
rfam:Otolemur garnettii contig164817, whole genome shotgun sequence.